AAACCCUUCCAUCAAAUUUUGUUUCACAUGGUGUAUAUUUGGAGACAGAUAAUAUUGCUAUAGGGUUUUCUAUGUACAUGUAUGAAAGCUACAAUUUCACUUUGUGUAGUUCUGUUAUUGUAAAACUUUUGUGAUUACGAUGCAUUUGCAUGAAAUCGAGCAUGUGAAUACUUUUGUUAAAAAACCUUAUUAAUACAUGUUUUACCAGGGUAUUUUGUGUGUUUUGCUAAUUCUAUAAUUCUUUUAAUAUGAAAGUAGUAUAUAUGUUCAUAUUUUUUAAGAGAUGGACAGGGAAGGUUUUUAAUGAUGAUGUUUCAACCACAUCAUGGCAUGAUAAGAAAUGAUAAUGAUUAUAAUUGUGUAGCUAUUGUGAUGUUGAAAGUACUGUCCUCACAUGUUCAAUUACUGGAAAAUGUCAUAUGUGGUAGUCCAGUUAUAGGUUUUGUUGAUUAUAAAAAAUUGCGAAGAGGUAUUAUACAUGAUUAUAUAAUUCUAUUAAUCAUGUAUAAUUUAUUUUAAAAUGUCUUUGCAGUUCUAAUUCAACAAAAUGCAUUUCCAACCGAUCAUAAAUGAAUUAUUGUAUAAAGUAUAUUUUGAUCACGAUUGUUUUUUAAUAAAUAUAUGGUUUUUG
rnacentral:sRNA from 1 species